rnacentral:rRNA from 1 species
UGGGGAAUAUUGCACAAUGGGCGCAAGCCUGAUGCAGCCAUGCCGCGUGUGUGAAGAAGGCCUUCGGGUUGUAAAGCACUUUCAGCGAGGAGGAAGGGUAGUGUGUUAAUAGCACAUUGCAUUGACGUUACUCGCAGAAGAAGCACCGGCUAACUCCGUGCCAGCAGCCGCGGUAAUACGGAGGGUGCAAGCGUUAAUCGGAAUUACUGGGCGUAAAGCGCACGCAGGGGGUUUGUUAAGUCAGAUGUGAAAUCCCCGCGCUUAACGUGGGAACUGCAUUUGAAACUGGCAAGCUAGAGUCUUGUAGAGGGGGGUAGAAUUCCAGGUGUAGCGGUGAAAUGCGUAGAGAUCUGGAGGAAUACCGGUGGCGAAGGCGGCCCCCUGGACAAACACUGACGCUCAGGUGCGAAAGCGUGGGGAGCAAACA